ACCUAGGCCAUAAGCUUGGGCUUCUUCCCCACCUAGCUCACAACUUAUAGAACCCAUUUAUUUUAUUCUAUGUGGGCCACAUGGUUGGUUACCUUUCCUUAGGUCCAUAAGUUCCUCCAAGUCCGGAGCAAAAUUUCCCUGUGCCUGACUCUUUGCCAGAAUUCUUAUCUCUUCCUACAAGAUGCCCCACCUUCUAACCCUGCCUCCGUGCCUUGGCCAUCAGCUUCUCAUUGCUAGGCGAUGCUUCCCAUACAGUGCAUGAGAGAUUCUUUAUACAAUAGUGAGUAUGCUCGUGACAGAUCAACUUAGCCUAUUCUUAGCCUAUUCUUUAAAUUAAAUGUCCCCAGGAACAUUUUAUCCCAGUGAUUUGGAAAUUAGACUUUGUUAUGUAAUGUAAUUGAAAGCAAUAGAGCUAAGCACCUGUUCUAUUUUGUGCAGUUUGAAAACUGGACACGCAAACUCACAUCUCAUCUAAGGCCCUACAGUGACCUCAACAGUAAUGACAGGAAACUGUGUAUCUAUUUUAUUACAUCACAAGACCUUGUAAAAAUGGGACUUUUAACUUGAAGCUAUAUGAACUAACUAAAAUGAUGAAUCUGUUUUUUAUAAAAAUUGUAUCUGUGAGGUACAAUAAUCAGUUAUCACAAAGGAUAAUAGAGGUUAUUUAAUGCUAUUUGGAAAUUCUGAGUAACAUUUUAAUGUCUUUGAUUACAUCAAGUGAGGUAGAUUAAUCACCCUUUAAGACUUCCAUAAAGAAGGAAACUUUAAGAAAUAGUCUCAUUGUUGGAACGUUAUUGAUGACAUCUUAGCCAUCCAGACAAAAAAGGAGGAAGGGUUCCUGAUGGUUCUUAAACACUUUAACCUCUCUUGUAGCCCACCAUCCACCAGAGGUAGCAGAAAAGAAGGGAUGUGGGGUUCGGUGGAUCAUUAGGAAGGUUUUUUGGAGCAACUCCUAUCUCUGUUGUCUGGAAAUCAGCAGUUCAGCUUACAGGUUAGCACUGGCAGCUUGAUACACUUGUAAACACAUUCACGGAGUCAGGAUAGCAGACAGGAAUCAGCAGUGGUGGCACAGCCUAGUAGAGACAACCAGGCCUCGGCCUUGGCUCCAGUCAGCAGGAAGGACCAAGAGGAAUGCCAGAAGUUCUCGGCUGUGCCUCUCUCUCAGAGAAGCAGAGAUCAGCGAAGACUCACAAGUGUUGCACAGCUAGUUCUAUAAGCAAGCCAAGCUCCACCUCCUUCACUAUCCGUUGAGUCCUACUUAUACCUUCCAAAUACCAAUGUGUCCUCCAUGGACAUCUGUCUCAACUGACAUCACUCUGCCAAUCAGCCAGAGUCUGCAGAAACGGUAAGAACUGUAGCACAGCACCAGAAGUACUUUAGGUGUGUUUCUCUCUGUGGAGUUCCUACAAACGCAGCUCAGCUACUCAAUGUAAGGCAGACCAAUAUAUAUGUGUUGUUAGCAAGGAAUCCUUCAUCCUGUGUCCUUUCAUGUGCUUGCUUUAGCAGAACAUCAUCUCUCCCGUGUCUGCUUCAGCAAAAUGUUCCUUCAUGAGUCUGCCGUAGUCUUUCACCUGUGUCCACUUCAGGAAAGCCCUCCUUCAUGGGUCUGCCCCAGCAAAACACCAUCCAACACAACUGACUGUCCAAAGAAACCUUAAGUUUGCACUUCAGCUCCCCACAAGGCAAAAGGCUCCCUGAGGAUUGGGCCCUCAACUAGCCUCACAAGUAAUAAAGAAAAUGGUCAUUAUGGCCACCUACAUGAUCUAUGCACAGGAAAGUGUAACCAAAGAUGACAAUGAUUGGCUUGUUUCUUUAACAAUCCAAAGGAUUACACAACCUAGACAUUAGGCUUAAACCCAUGUGACAUGUUAUUUAGAUGACCGAUUCUCGAUAAUUUUAUCUUGAUAAGAAAAAUGUUUCCAAGACAUAGGACAUUAUGUCAUUGGUUCAAUUUGACACUGCACCACAUACCUGUAGCUAAAGAGGACCACUAUUUUUUUUAGUCUAAAAAAGACAAAAACAAAAACC
rnacentral:lncRNA from 1 species